UACGUAGGGGGCAAGCGUUGUCCGGAUUUAUUGGGCGUAAAGAGCGUGUAGGCGGCCUGGUAGGUCAGUUGUGAAAACUCGAGGCUCAACCUCGAGACGCCGAUUGAAACCAUCAGGCUAGAGUCCGGAAGAGGAGAGUGGAAUUCCCGGUGUAGCGGUGAAAUGCGCAGAUAUCGGGAAGAACACCCGUGGCGAAAGCGGCUCUCUGGAACGGUACUGACGCUGAGACGCGAAAGCGUGGGGAGCGAACAGG
rnacentral:rRNA from 1 species